rnacentral:sRNA from 1 species
UGCAAGAUAUUCAGAGCCUAUUUUUAUU